CUUUACUGCCUGCUAAUCCCUGGAGAUUUGACCCCAAAAUAAUGAUAGUGCCCGUGAGCAAGCUCCAGCCAUCCCUAAAAAUGCCCCUGCCUUACCUUGAGGGACCUCAGGUGUGUCACCAUUUAACUUGGCUGCAAGUUGACACCUGUCUUUCAUUUGGUUUGAAUACUCUGAUUAAAGAUUUAGCGUGUGCCUAGCACUAGCAGGAAAUGUGGUACCCUGAGUAAGGCUUAUGGUCUUCACUUCAGGCCUUACUCAAACCCGGGUCUGCAUGCCUGUCACCAAGUGGAGCUUUGUUUGCCUUGGCAAGUUAAGGGAACUCUGAAGGCAAUAGCAGAAGUCACUAUUUAAGAACUGUGAGCCGGGAAGAGGCCCCAGGCCUUGCCCGCAUCGCGACUUCACAGCGUCUGAAAUACACCGGUCUCAGGAAGAACACGCAGUGAGCCUUGGAAAAGUAAGACCCUGGGAGAUGGAGCCAACGUGGCCUUGAUGUUGCCAAACGCAAUCCCUCUUGGCCCAGAGGAGGGUCACUGCACUCGCUUCCACCUCGUGGGAGGUUACGAAGAGCUAAAAACAAGAGGAGUCGGGUGUGGUGGCUACCCCUGGGAUCCAGCAACUCGGAGCCUCAGAAUCACAAGUUUGAGGCCCGCCUGGGCCACUUACUGAGAUUCUGUCUCAAAACAAAAAAACAGAAAGGGCUUGGCAGGCCCCUGGGUCCCAGCCCCGUGUCGGCAGUGGAAAGAAGAAUGUGUGGCCUUUCUGUCCUGUGCCCAGCACGCAAAUGCCGGCUGCAGUCCUGUGGCUCCGUCAUCCCGCUGACGUGGGACCCGAGAAGCCCACCCACCGGGCUCCGGCCAGGGGUCUCCAGGAGGCCUCAGAGCCAUCUCCUGGGAGGGCUGUUGGGAUCAGCCUCCGCCAUCACCCCCAGAUCACCCCCAGGCAGUGGGUGUCCACACGUGUGAGGGGACCUGCCACCCAGCCCUGUGGUGGCUGAAGCCGAGACGCUCCGUCUGCCGUCUGGGAGCUCACAAGGAGUGGGAGGCUCCUCUGUCUCCUGGGCUGGGGGCCAGGCCUGGGCACGAUGGCCACUGCUCCAUGCCCAAGGUCUGAGGCCUGUUUCCAGGCUGGUUUGCCCUGCUGACCUCCUGCUCCCAUGGGGUGAGGAGCCUCCAGGGCCCCCAGACCCUGCUGAGCUCGCUGGAUGGUUUCCAGGGGUGCCCAGAAAUGUGGAAUCCCUGCUGUGGAUUGAAAAUAGUGACCCGCACGGCCAGGGCAGUCACUGGGGGCUCUCAGCUAAGAGGGCCUCCAAUUUCACAUGCGCUCCCAGCCAGCCCACUCCCAAACUGACCAGAGCCCCUCCCCUCCUCCCCUCUGUCCCUCCGUCUCUGUCUGUCCACCUUUCUCUCCCUCUUUCCUUCCCUCCCUCCCUCCUUUGCUCAUCCUAGCAGAGGCAGUGGGAUGAGAGCGGAGGCAUACAGAGGGAGGCCCCAGCAACAACCAGCCCACGAACAGUUUUCCUCCUUUCCUUAAGCAGAUAUUUUGUAUCCUCCCAAUCCUCAGAGACUGUCGGGAGCUUUGUUUCUACCCUGUAUUUCUGUGUACUUAUCUCCCCUGGGAAGAAAGGGAACAUUCCAGGCUUCCCUCAUAGGCAGUCACAACUUCUACAGGUGAGGCCAGGAGGAGGAAGAGCAAGUGAGAUGGCCGGUGCAUCUGCAGCUGCCAGUGAGAAGCUGCUCCCCACGUGGCUACAGGAAUCCUACCUCAGGCUUCUGCCUCCCACUCAUGGAAAAAUUCUCUGCACCAAAGUCUCCUCUUGUCUGCCAGCUUGAGCCAGCUGUUUUCUUCCUCCUCAGGGAGGAGAAUGCUCUAGGGAGGGGAGCAGAGGGAGAAGACAGGGAAGAAGGAUGUUGAGAACCUGAAAAGGGUCAAGAAGGGUUUUGUUCACUUCCAAAAAAGGACGGAGCCUGCAGAGCCUAGGAGUCCCCUCCACAGGCCGGAAGUGCAGAGGACACAGCCAAGGGAGGCUGUGAACCUGGCACUGGUCGUCCCUGACCUGGCCACAGAGACCUGACAGUCGCCCUCACAGGUGGCAAGUGCUGUGGCUGCAGAUUCCCAGGGAACAAGGACGAACUCGCACCAGGAGACACAUCUGGGGGACGCUGCCUGGGGUGAGCUGGGAAGGGCCCCAGGAGCCAAGUGGGACCCCAGGACCUGGAGACUUGAUGUGAGGUCCGGAUUCCGCCUUCUCCCAACGCCCUUCCCAGCUGUCUUCCCCACCUCCACAAACAUGAAAUGUUACAUAAUAGAAGUAAUCGGAGCCAGGAUGAGUCCACUACCUGCGCCCGGACACCAGCACUGGGCCUGCCAUGAGCUGAGGGCCGUGACCCCAAACUGGACAACGCUGUGGACACGUGAUUCAUUUGACCAACCCAGACUUUUAAAUAAGUCGCCACGUUGGGAGGUGAUACUUGGAACACGGAUCCUGGUUUCUCUACAAAAAAAUAUAUAUAUAUAUGGAAAACGAGGCUCUUUGGGUGGAAUCUGAGCCGUCCAUUCACUCAGCAAAUAUUUACUGAGCACUUCUGUGCCAGGUCGAAACCCUGGAGGCCCCGGAGCUGUAGGUCCAUAGAGAGACAAGGUCCCUUUUUGCAUGAAACUCACAUUCAUUCAUUUUACGUGGGACAGACAGAGGCUGUCACGCCUGGGAGGCCGGGGAGAGGCUUGGCCACAUGGAAACCACCGUCAUAAACAGAGCAAUGAACAAGGUCCUGCUGGAUGGUGACAGGAACAAGAAGGAGA